GCAAUGAUCAAGUCUUUGAUCAUAGGACUGCUCAUAAUGUGUUGAAAUUCAAUAAGUCCAGGGAAAAGGUUCUUAUAGUUUAUGACUAGAAGAAACCCGUCAGGACCAUUACUUUUUGACAGUGAGAUCGAUUGCACAAUUCGCAGAAACCAAAGAGAAAUAAGGCAAAGCUUAAGAUACACAGAGAACGAGCAAGAGGAAUAUAUUCAAACCACAACCAAGGAGAUGGCUGAAAACCAAGAAAAUUCGCUACCUCCUGCAAUUGCUGUUAAUCAGAAUCCUGCUCUGUGCACUAUGACGAGGAUCCCAACGCUCACUUGGCAAAUUUCCUAAAAUUUUGCGAUACAUUUAAAAUCAAUGGCAUUUUUUAUGAUGCCAUAUGUCUUCGGUUGUUUCCCUUUUCGUUAAGAAAUAAAGCUAAACAGUGGUUAAACUCGUUACCAUGAGGGUCAAUUACUACUUGGGAACAAAUAACCGAAAAGUUUC